rnacentral:rRNA from 1 species
UACAGAGGUCCCGAGCGUUGUUCGGAUUCAUUGAGCGUAAAGGGUGCGUAGGCGGUGAGGUAAGUCUGAUGUGAAAUCCCGGGGCUCAACCCCGGAACUGCAUUGGAUACUGCUUUACUUGAGUACUGGAGAGGAGACUGGAAUUUACGGUGUAGCAGUGAAAUGCGUAGAGAUCGUAAGGAAGGCCAGUGGCGAAGGCGAGUCUCUGGACAGUAACUG